rnacentral:lncRNA from 1 species
CCCAGGGCGUAGGAGACGACGAGGAUGAAGGCGGUGAAGAGCGCCCAAGCGCUGAGCAGCAGGACAUGAUCCUGGAACAGACAAGCGGCCAAGGUCUUCUUGGCCACGGUCGCACUCACAGCCAGCUCGCCGUCCAUGGAUCCAAGCUUUUCUUAUGGGGAGUCCAUCCAGCCAACCUAGCGAGGGCGAGAUCAGCAGCAACGUAGUGUUAGUACUUAGUUCCCUGGUCUAAUUUUCCAUCACGAAAGAAACGAUCGAGACAUCACGGCGUAGAUCCGACGAGGACAGAGCAAAAUGGCCGGCCGGAGGGAACAGAGGGAGGGAGAGGGACUCACCUUUGCUGGUUGCUUGAUGUGGGAGGUGCUUCCCCUACGCUCGAUCCCUA